GACGAACGCUGGCGGCGUGCUUAACACAUGCAAGUCGAACGGAAAGGCCCUGCUUUUGUGGGGUGCUCGAGUGGCGAACGGGUGAGUAACACGUGGGUAACCUGCCCUUGACUUUGGGAUAACUUCAGGAAACUGGGGCUAAUACCGGAUAGGAGCUCCUGCUGCAUGGUGGGGGUUGGAAAGUUUCGGCGGUUGGGGAUGGACUCGCGGCUUAUCAGCUUGUUGGUGGGGUAGUGGCUUACCAAGGCUUUGACGGGUAGCCGGCCCGAGAGGGUGACCGGCCACAUUGGGACUGAGAUACGGCCCAGACUCCUACGGGAGGCAGCAGUGGGGAAUAUUGCACAAUGGGCGGAAGCCUGAUGCAGCAACGCCGCGUGCGGGAUGACGGCCUUCGGGUUGUAAACCGCUUUCGCCUGUGACGAAGCGUGAGUGACGGUAAUGGGUAAAGAAGCACCGGCUAACUACGUG
rnacentral:rRNA from 1 species